rnacentral:rRNA from 1 species
UACGUAGGGGGCUAGCGUUGUCCGGAUUCAUUGGGCGUAAAGGGUGCGUAGGCGGCGCGGUAAGUCGGGUGUGAAAUCUCGGAGCUUAACUUCGAAACUGCAUUCGAUACUGCCGUGCUUGAGGACUGGAGAGGAGACUGGAAUUUACGGUGUAGCGGUGAAAUGCGUAGAUAUCGUAAGGAAGACCAGUGGCGAAGGCGGGUCUCUGGACAGUUCCUGACGCUGAGGCACGAAGGCCAGGGGAGCAAACGGG